CUGGGUUUAGAACGUCGUGAGACAGUUCGGUCCCUAUCUGCCGUGGGUGUAGGACGCUUGAGAGGAUCUGUCCCUAGUACGAGAGGACCGGGAUGGACGUACCUCUGGUGUACCAGUUGUCGCGCCAGCGGCACCGCUGGGUAGCUAUGUACGGACGGGAUAACCGCUGAAAGCAUCUAAGCGGGAAACCCACCUCAAAACCAGGCGUCCCUGAGAGCCGUGAAAGACCAUCACGUCGAUAGGCCGGGUGUGGAAGUGCAGCAAUGCAUGCAGCUAACCGGUACUAAUCGCUCGAUAGGCUUCGAUC
rnacentral:rRNA from 1 species